rnacentral:rRNA from 1 species
ACUACGGGAGGCAGCAGUGAGGAAUAUUGGUCAAUGGGCGAGAGCCUGAACCAGCCAAGUCGCGUGAGGGAGUACUGCCCUAUGGGUUGUAAACCUCUUUUGUCGGGGAGCAAAAGCCGGACGUGUCCGGCUGUGAGAGUAACCGAAGAAAAAGCAUCGGCUAACUCCGUGCCAGCAGCCGCGGUAAUACGGAGGAUGCGAGAGUUUUCCGGAUUUAGUGGGUUUAAAGGGUGCGCAGGCGGAUUUUUAAGUCAGCGGUCAAAUGGUGGGGGUCAAGCCCAUCCAGACGUUGAAACUGGGGAUCUAGAGUGGGCGAGAGGUAUGCAGAAUGCGUGGUGUAGCGGUGAAAUGCAUAGAUAUCACGCAGAACCCCGAUUGCGAAGGCAGCAUACCGGUGCACAACUGACGCUCAGGCACGAAAGCGUGGGUAUCGAACAGGAUUAGAUACCCUAGUAGUC